rnacentral:rRNA from 1 species
UCCCGUUCCCAGUCGUACCAGGUACCCGUUCGGUCGGGGAUUAGUGGCGAACGGGUGAGUAACACGUGGGUGACCUGCCCUGCGCUCUGGGAUAAGCCUGGGAAACCGGGUCUAAUACCGGAUAUGACUUUCGGUCGCAUGGCCGGGAGUGGAAAGCUUUUGUGGUGUGGGAUGGGCCCGCGGCCUAUCAGCUUGUUGGUGGGGUAGUGGCCUACCAAGGCGACGACGGGUAGCCGGCCUGAGAGGGUGUCCGGCCACACUGGGACUGAAACACGGCCCAGACUCCUACGGGAGGCAGCGGUGGGGAAUAUUGCACAAUGGGCGGAAGCCUGAUGCAACGACGCCGCGUGAGGGAUGACGGCCUUCGGGUUGUAAACCUCUUUCGACAGGGAAGAAGCGCAAGUGACUGUACCUGUAGAAGAAGCACCGGCUAACUACUUGCCAACAGCCGCGGUAAUACUUAGGGUGCAAGCGUUGUCCGGAAUUAUUGGGGGUAAAGAGCUCCUAAGCGGUCUGUCGCGUCGGUUGUGUAAGCCCGGGGCUCAACCCCGGGUCUGCAGUCGAUACUGGCAGGCUAGAGUUCGGCAGGGGAGACUGGAAUUSCYKGKGUAGYGGUGAAAUGCGCAKAUAUCWGGAGGAACACCGKUGGCGAAGGCRGGUCUCUGGGCCGAUACUGACSCUGAGSAGCGAAAGCGUGKGGAGCGAACAGGAUUAGAUACCCUGGUAGUCCACGCUGUAAAYGGUGGGCACUAKGUGUGGGCGACAUUCCRYSKKSKYGUGUGCCGCWGCCUAACGCAUWAAGUGCCCCSCCUGRGGAGUACGGCCGCAAGGCUAAAACUCAARGKAAUUGACRGGGGCCCGCACAAGCGGCGGAGCAUGUGGCUUAAUUUGACGCAACGUGAAGAACCUUACCAAGGCUUGACAUAUGCCGGACACCUCCAGAGAUGGAGGCUCCCUUUGGGCCGGUGUACAGGUGGUGCAUGGCUGUCGUCAGCUCGUGUCGUGAGAUGUUGGGUUAAGUCCCGCAACGAGCGCAACCCUUGUCCUGUGUUGCCAGCACGCCCUUCGGGGUGGUGGGGACUCACGGGAGACUGCCGGGGUCAACUCGGAGGAAGGUGGGGAUGAGGUCAAGUCAUCAUGCCCCUUAUGUCUUGGGCUGCACACGUGCUACAAUGGCUGGUACAGUGGGAUGGGAUGCCCCGAGGCGGAGCGAAUCCCCAAAAGCCAGUCUCAGUUCGGAUUGGGGUCUGCAUCCCGACCCCAUGAAGUCGGAGUCGGUAUUAAUAGCAGAUCAGCAUUGGUACGGUGAAUAGGUUCCCGGGCCUUGUACACACCGCCCGUCACGUCACGAAAGUCGGUAACAUCUGAAGCCGGGGCCAGAGUACCUCGUGGGUCAGAAC